rnacentral:rRNA from 1 species
GCACUGCCCGGUAGCUAAAUGCGGAAGAGAUAAGUGCUGAAAGCAUCUAAGCACGAAACUUGCCCCGAGAUGAGUUCUCCCUGACCCUUUAAGGUCCUGAAGGAACGUUGAAGACGACGACGUUGAUAGGCCGGGUGUGUAAGCGCAGCGAUGCGUUGAGCUAACCGGUACUAAUGAACCGUGAGGCUUAACCUUACAACGCCGAAGGUGUUU